rnacentral:rRNA from 1 species
AUGGAUCUACACCCACAGGUGCUUUGCUGGAAUGUUCGGGGCUUGAACAAUCCAGCCAAGAGGAAAGCGGUGAGAGAGUUCGUGAGCACUUUGGAGGUCAACCUCAUUUGUUUCCAAGAGACCAAAAUGGCUGUAAUAGAUAGAUUCACGGUGAUGCAAUGUAUGGGGCCAUCCUUUGAUGGCUUUGCCUAUUUGCCGGCGGAGGAGACU